GUUACUGCAGGAGCCUGAACUAAACUAACUUUAUUCAUACUGUUUCGUAUUUUUAGCAUUUACAUGAAAAUGGCAUCACUAACAGGGAUUGGAAGCAGGCAAAUAACCCAUUGGAGAAACAAGUCAAAAAAGGGUCGUAUAAAUUUCCGAACAACCUCUGGAAGAAUGUUAGCAGUGAAGCUAAGGAUCUUAUAACAAAACUGCUUACUGUUGGUCACAGAAAAUGCAUCACGGUUUCAGAAGCUCUGGAACAUCCUUGGAUGAAGGAUAAAGAAAUGAUAGAAAAAGCAGAAAAAAUGAUAAAACCGACCGUGGAUGGAAGAUCAAUGUCUCCGCCCUUAUAAAAGGUAUGUUGAAAACUACGAUACUUGUCCCGUUCUUCCGUCCAAUGACCCUUAUUUUCAACUCGCAAUUGCAAUGAAACAUUACAUGUUUGCAAGUUACAUCGAAAUUUAACCAGUUUUCCGAAACAAUCUCAAGGCGCUGUUACACUACGCAACUUUCCUUGCAAAUUGCAAAACCAUUCUACUCCUGAGGC
rnacentral:misc_RNA from 1 species